UACGGGGGGGGCUAGCGUUAUUCGGAAUUAUUGGGCGUAAAGCGCACGCAGGCGGCUUGACAAGUCAAGGGUGAAAGCCCUCGGCUCAACCGAGGAAUUGCCUUUGAAACUGUCUAGCUUGAGGCCGGGAGGGGGUAGCGGAAUUCCCAGUGUAGCGGUGAAAUGCGUAGAUAUUGGGAGGAACACCGGUGGCGAAGGCGGCUACCUGGACCGGUUCUGACGCUGAGGUGCGAAAGCGUGGGUAGCAAACAGG
rnacentral:rRNA from 1 species